rnacentral:misc_RNA from 1 species
AGGACGUGGGCUAAGGUCUAGUUUUUGAAAGACGACUCUAUUUCUGAUGAAAAAUAAUCCCUUUUAACAAAUCACCAUUCCUCUUACGAACCCUAAAUCCUUCAAUUUCAGCCACUGCGCCACUCUGAAACCACCACCGCCAUGGCCGCUCACCAUUUCUGUUCCCCAUCACUGUCGAAGUCAUUUCUUUUGCCAAUUUGAAUCCAUCGUGUCGCUUUCGCUCACCAUUGCCGUUCUCCCUAAUUGUCGUCUUCGCUAUUGUUCACCACUUCGAAGACAUCUCCGUGGCUGUUGUAAUUGAACUGAAGGAGACAAGGAGCCUUUCCUACAUCGCCAGUACUGUUCUGUGAGGAGUGAGGGUGAGUUGAGCUUUCCAAUUAAAACCUGAGAUUUGUUUCUUGACUAUUCUUUUAAUUUUGUAUGAAUGCAGUGAAGAUCAUUGAAGCCUUAGAUUAUGAUUCUUUGUUUGUUGUUUGAAUAUCAACUACAAUCAUGCUUUCUUUUUUAGAUUUUCUGAUUAGCUUUUUGUUGCUUGGCGCUGCGUCAUCCCAUUUCCAGUAAGUCUUAACUCAAUACUGUGGUUACUCACUCUCUAGUCAUUGUUGUCGGCACCAAUUUGGUAUAUCGACUUUCACCUUGUGCUUGUCUAGUAGCAGAAUCACUAUCAUAAUAUCAUGUGAUGCGUUUUGGUUCGUUUUAUAUGUACUGAAUGUAGAGGAGAUAUGCCUCUGGUAUUUAUUUGUAUUAUUUAUUUCUGUAGGGUAUGAUAUAUUUGAUUUGAUGAAGUUCGUGUUAUAGUGCAAGUAUAGUUUAUCAGUGUUAUGUAUGUUAGUAUAAAUUUAUUCAUGAUUUAUUUGAUUUCAUUGUCUUGAAAACGCCCACAAAUACUAGUUCUGAUCAAGUACCCAAAUCUUUUUCUUGCUCUUUUAUUAGAAGUUCCUUCAUAAAAGUAGAAAACAAACGGAUUUGUGUGGGGCAAACAGAUUUGUGUUUCAGGUGGUGUGCAGGUAACAGGAUUCAUAUUUGGAAUGGACAGGGUAGCAGGUGUGAAUCCUAAUCAGGUUUUGAUUCAUGGUAAUGGGUACGGUAAGUUUGAUGUUAAUGGGCUUGGGUGCAGAGUAAUUUUUGGGGGGUAACCUCCUUGCUGGCAUUCCUUUGACAGCUACACCUCUUGGGUAUAAAGCUUGCUGCUUUUUCGCAAGAAGCACAUAACAAGGCAGUGCUAUUAGCAUAUAUGAAUUAUGAAAUACCCUUCACAGAAGCUCUGCUCUAAUUUUUUUUUUUUAAUGACAAUAUAAAUUGAUGUUCUAUUGACUUCAAAAGUUUAAAACUAAGGCCUUCUGGAUUUCUGACCAUGUUUUUAUAUUGUUCAGAUGGUUCAGCAAACAGCAGACUCAAAAUUCAAUGAGUAUGGGCUUGGCAACACCGAAACCAGCUUAUCUAGUUGUGAUAAGCAAUUUCCUGUUGCAGUAAAGAAGACAGCAUUGAGAGAUGUGCAGAAUGAUAAUAGAAUUCCCAAUUCUAUUGGGAAUUCUCCAAUACCCAUGGAUAGAGGACAAACUAUGGAUGCAGUUAAAGUUUCUGGCAUCAAGAGACCCUCGCCUAAAAGCCCAGUGAGCCCUCCACAUCACCAAUCUCCAAGUAGUAAUGCUGCAAAUGCUCAUCUUGUCUAUGUUCGUAGAAAAUCUGAAGCAGAAACCGGCAAGAGUAGUAUUUCUGAUGGCAGAAGCAUUAAUGCUGAUUGCACAAAUUCAAGGCAACUUGACCUUGCAGAGGAGAUCGUGCAACCAAAACCACAUAUAAAGGAGCCAAAGGUUUCUGGUUUUUCAGCAUUUGCACCUAUGCCCGUGGAUUCCUUGACAAAUUCCUCUGGAAAAUCUUCAGUUCCUCUUCCUGUUGGCAGCCCUAACAUGAGGUUUACCCCAGCAGAACCCAACUAUAAUCAUAUUGCUUCUGCUGUUUCUUUGUCAAAAAAUUUUAAGGGAAUGAAAAACCUGCAAUGGGAAGAUCGGUAUCAUCAGUUGCAAAUUCUACUGAAGAAAUUAGAUGAAUCAGAUCAGGAGGAUUAUGUGCAGAUGCUUCGUUCGCUUUCCUCAGUUGAGCUUAGCAGGCAUGCGGUUGAAUUGGAGAAGAGGUCCAUUCAACUUUCAUUGGAAGAAGCAAAAGAGGUGCAACGUGUUGGGGUUCUAAAUGUACUGGGGAAGUCCUUGAAGAACGUUAAAGCAUCUGCAGCUUGUCAAAGCCAACUAUAGAAGUUAAGAGUAAUGUUACUGUCAUAAGUUCCUUUGGCUGAUAACGGAAAUAUGCCUCAAGGCACUUGUAUCUUUCUUCCUUUAACCAUAACUGCAGUAUUGGCUUCAGUUUAAAUGCGCACAAGUUGUUGACAGUAUUGAUUUCCAGAUAUAUUGUAAUGAAGUGCUAUAAAUAGUAGUUUUCAUUUCUUUCUUCCUAUUUUGGUUUCUAGCAGGUUUCACUUGUAAUUUGUAGUAAUUUUUAACAUUGUAAUCAUUUUGAAAACAAUGUUUUUUUUCAAGGGGUUGAUGGAAGGCAGCAGAGACGUAGCCACUCAUGGAUUGGCCUCUCCGAGAUUUUAAAAAUUUUGAAGGUUGUAAUGGUAAUUUCACAAAAAAUUUUUUAUUGUUACCUGCUAAAUUUUAA